GACGAACGCUGGCGGCGUGCUUAACACAUGCAAGUCGAACGGAAAGGCCCUGCUUGCAGGGCGCUCGCGUGGCGAACGGGUGGGUAACACGUGGGUGAUCUGCCUCUUACUUUGGGAUAAGCAUGGUCAACUGGGUCUAGUACUUGCUAGGACCAUGCUGUAGGUGGUGUGGUGGAUAGUUUAGUUUCGGUUAGGGGUGAGCUAUCGACCUAUCAGCUCGUCGGUGGGGUAAUGGCCUACCAAGGCGUCGACGGGUAGCCGGCCAGAGUGGGUGGACGGCCACAUUGAGACUGCGAUGCGGCCCAGCAGCCGGGGGGAGGCAGCAGUGGGGAAAAUUGUACAAUGGGCACAAGCCGGGAGCGGCGACGCCGCGUGGAGGGUGACGGCCUUCUAGUUGGAAACUACUUACGUCCAUGAAGAAGCCCUUGUGGUGACGGUAGUUGUAGAAGAAGCACCGGCUAACUACGUG
rnacentral:rRNA from 1 species